GAUGAACGCUAGCUACAGGCUUAACACAUGCAAGUCGAGGGGUAACGAGAGGAAAGCUUGCUUUCCUUGUCGACGACCGGCGCACGGGUGAGUAACGCGAAUCCAACCUGCCCCCAACUAGGGAAUAACCUUGCGAAAGUAAGACUAAUACCCUAUACUUUCCUCAGAUGACAUCUGACGAGGAAUAAAGAUUUAUCGGUUGGGGAUGGGGAUGCGUCUGAUUAGCUGGUUGGCGGGGUAACGGCCCACCAAGGCAACGAUCAGUAGGGGUUCUGAGAGGAAGGUCCCCCACAUUGGAACUGAGACACGGUCCAAACUCCUACGGGAGGCAGCAGUGAGGAAUAUUGGUCAAUGGGCGGAAGCCUGAACCAGCCAAGUAGCGUGCAGGAUGACGGCCCUAUGGGUUGUAAACUGCUUUUAUACAGGAAUAAAGUUAGCCACGUGUGGUUAUUUGUAGGUACUGUAUGAAUAAGGACCGGCUAAUUCCGUGCCAGCAGCCGCCGUAACAC
rnacentral:rRNA from 1 species